rnacentral:rRNA from 1 species
UACGAAGGGAGCGAGCGUUGUUCGGAUUGACUGGGCGUAAAGGGUGCGUAGGCUGCUAAUUAAGUGAAAUGUGAAAGCCCUAGGCUCAACCUAGGAAGUGCGUUUCAUACUGGUUGGCUAGAGGACAGCAGAGGAAGUGGGAAUUUCUGAUGGAGAGGUGAAAUUCAUAGAUAUCAGAAGGAACACCAAAGGCGAAGGCAAGCUUCUGGGCUGUACCUGACGUUGAGGCACGAAAGCGUGGGGAGCAAACAGGAUUAGAUACCCCGGUAGUCC